GAUGAACGCUGGCGGCGUGCCUAAUACAUGCAAGUCGAGCGAACAGACGAGGAGCUUGCUCCUCUGACGUUAGCGGCGGACGGGUAAGUAACACGUGGAUAACCUACCUAUAAGACUGGGAUAACUUCGGGAAACCGGAGCUAAUACCGGAUAAUAUAUUGAACCGCAUGGUUCAAUAGUGAAAGACGGUUUCGCUGUCACUUAUAGAUGGAUCCGCGCCGCAUUAGCUAGUUGGUAAGGUAACGGCUUACCAAGGCAACGAUGCGUAGCCGACCUGAGAGGGUGAUCGGCCACACUGGAACUGAGACACGGUCCAGACUCCUACGGGAGGCAGCAGUAGGGAAUCUUCCGCAAUGGGCGAAAGCCUGACGGAGCAACGCCGCGUGAGUGAUGAAGGUCUUCGGAUCGUAAAACUCUGUUAUUAGGGAAGAACAAAUGUGUAAGUAACUAUGCACGUCUUGACGGUACCUAAUCAGAAAGCCACGGCUAACUACGUG
rnacentral:rRNA from 1 species